UACGGAAGGGGCAAGCGUUGUUCGGAAUCAUUGGGCGUAAAGCGCGCGCAGGCGGUUUGCUAAGACAGGUGUGAAAUCCCCGGGCUUAACCUGGGAACUGCGCUUGUUACUGGCAGGCUUGAGUGUGGCAGAGGGGGGUGGAAUUCCACGUGUAGCAGUGAAAUGCGUAGAGAUGUGGAGGAACACCGAUGGCGAAGGCAGCCCCCUGGGCUAACACUGACGCUCAUGCACGAAAGCGUGGGGAGCAAACAGG
rnacentral:rRNA from 1 species